rnacentral:snRNA from 1 species
AUACUUAGGGGAGAUACCAUGAUCACGAAGGUGGUUUUCCCAGGGCGAGGCUUAUCCAUUGCACUCAGGAUGUGCUGACCCCUGGGAUUUCCCCAAAUGUGGGAAACUCAGCUGCAUAAUUUGUGGUAGUGGGGGACUGCAUUUGCGCUUUCCCCUG